rnacentral:rRNA from 1 species
UACGGAGGAUCCAAGCGUUAUCCGGAUUUAUUGGGUUUAAAGGGUGCGUAGGCGGACUUAUAAGUCAGCGGUGAAAGUUUGCAGCUCAACUGUAAAAUUGCCGUUGAAACUGUUAGUCUUGAGUGUAAAUGAGGUAGGCGGAAUGUGUUGUGUAGCGGUGAAAUGCUUAGAUAUAACACAGAACACCAAUUGCGAAGGCAGCUUACUGGGAUACAACUGACGCUGAGGCACGAAAGCGUGGGGAUCAAACAGG